rnacentral:rRNA from 1 species
UACGGGGGGGGGCAAGCGUUGUUCGGAAUUACUGGGCGUAAAGGGCUCGUAGGCGGCCAACUAAGUCAGACGUGAAAUCCCUCGGCUUAACCGGGGAACUGCGUCUGAUACUGGAUGGCUUGAGGUUGGGAGAGGGAUGCGGAAUUCCAGGUGUAGCGGUGAAAUGCGUAGAUAUCUGGAGGAACACCGGUGGCGAAGGCGGCAUCCUGGACCAACACUGACACUGAGGAGCGAAAGCCAGGGGAGCAAACGGG